AGGGUUCGAGUUCUGGCGUCAGGAUGAACGCUGGCGGCGUGCCUAACACAUGCAAGUCGAACGAGCGAGAGAUGAAACCUAGUGAUUCUCGAGCGAGUGGCGGACGGGUGAGUAACGCGUGGGUAACCUGCCUUACAGAGGGGGAUAACAGUCUGAAAAGACUGCUAAUACCGCAUAAGCACACAGUACCGCAUGGUACAGGGUGAAAAGAUUUAUCACUGUAAGAUGGACCCGCGUCUGAUUAGCCAGUUGGCAGGGUAACGGCCUACCAAAGCGACGAUCAGUAGCCGACCUGAGAGGGUGAUCGGCCACAUUGGGACUGAGACACGGCCCAAACUCCUACGGGAGGCAGCAGUGGGGGAUAUUGCACAAUGGAGGAAACUCUGAUGCCAGCGACGCCGCGUGAGUGAAGAAGUAUUUCGGUAUGUAAAGCUCUAUCAGCAGGGAAGAUAAUGGCGGUACCUGACCAAGAAGCCCCGGCUAACUACGUGCCAGCCGCCGC
rnacentral:rRNA from 1 species